UGGGGAAUAUUGCACAAUGGGGGAAACCCUGAUGCAGCGACGCCGCGUGGAGGAAGAAGGUCUUCGGAUUGUAAACUCCUGUCCUUGGGGACGAUAAUGACGGUACCCAAGGAGGAAGCACCGGCUAACUACGUGCC
rnacentral:rRNA from 1 species